rnacentral:rRNA from 1 species
UACGUAGGGUGCGAGCGUUAAUCGGAAUUACUGGGCGUAAAGCGUGCGCAGGCGGUUUGUUAAGUCCGCUGUGAAAGCCCCGGGCUCAACCUGGGAAUGGCGGUGGAAACUGGCGAGCUAGAGUGUGGCAGAGGGGGGUGGAAUUCCACGUGUAGCAGUGAAAUGCGUAGAGAUGUGGAGGAACACCGAUGGCGAAGGCAGCCCCCUGGGCUAACACUGACGCUCAGGCACGAAAGCGUGGGGAGCGAACAGG